UACGUAGGGUGCAAGCGUUGUCCGGAAUUAUUGGGCGUAAAGAGCUCGUAGGCGGUCUGUCGCGUCGGCUGUGAAAACCCGGGGCUCAACCCCGGGCCUGCAGUCGAUACGGGCAGACUAGAGUGAUGUAGGGGAGACUGGAAUUCCUGGUGUAGCGGUGAAAUGCGCAGAUAUCAGGAGGAACACCGAUGGCGAAGGCAGGUCUCUGGGCCGAUACUGACGCUGAGGAGCGAAAGCGUGGGGAGCGAACAGG
rnacentral:rRNA from 1 species